rnacentral:rRNA from 1 species
GAUGAACGCUGGCGGCGUGCUUAACACAUGCAAGUCGAACGGAAAGGCCCAAGCUUGCUUGGGUACUCGAGUGGCGAACGGGUGAGUAACACGUGGGUGAUCUGCCCUGCACUUCGGGAUAAGCCUGGGAAACUGGGUCUAAUACCGGAUAGGACCACAUUUUGGAUGGUGUGGUGGAAAGUUUUUCGGUGUGGGAUGAGCUCGCGGCCUAUCAGCUUGUUGGUGGGGUAAUGGCCUACCAAGGCGUCGACGGGUAGCCGGCCUGAGAGGGUGUACGGCCACAUUGGGACUGAGAUACGGCCCAGACUCCUACGGGAGGCAGCAGUGGGGAAUAUUGCACAAUGGGCGCAAGCCUGAUGCAGCGACGCCGCGUGGGGGAUGACGGCCUUCGGGUUGUAAACUCCUUUCGCUAGGGGCGAAGCGUUUUUGUGACGGUACCUGGAGAAGAAGCACCGGCUAACUACGUG